rnacentral:lncRNA from 1 species
CCCCCCCCCCCCCCCCCCCCCCCCCCCCCCCCCCCCCCCCCCCCCCCCCCCCCCCCCCCCCCCCCCCCCCCGCGCUCGGCUCUGCCGGCCCGGCUCCGCCGCGCUGCCCUGCGAUGAGAGCGAAGCGCUGGACAGCGUCCAGGACGUGUACAGGGAGGGCAUCUUCGAGUCGGACAGGCUCGAUUUCCUGUUGGGAGAGAAGGGCGGGAGCUGCCGGGGGCGAUCCCACCUGGCGAGGGACCCCUGGCCAGUACUGGUCAGCACUGGGGGUCCCUGGUCAGUACUGGGGGGAUCCCUGGUCAGAACUGGAGGGUCCCUGGUCAGUACUGGGGGGUCCCUGGUCUGUACUGGAGGGUCCCUGGUCAGUACUGAGGGUUCCCUGGUCUGUACUGGGGGGUCCCUGGUCAGCACUGGGGGGGGUCCCUGGUCAGUACUGGGGGGAUCCCUGGUCAGAACUGGAGGGUCCCUGGUCAGUACUGGGGGGUCCCUGGUCAGUGCUGGGAGAUGCCUCGCCUUGGGUUCUCUGGGGAAAAAAGACCCCAAGUUCUCCGUGUUACCCCCUUCCCUCUGCAGGAUUUUGUCGCACGCAGGGAAUUCCAGACCUGAAGAGGGGAGCGACGUAGCUGCUGGGGAAGAGCCCGACCCUGCCGGUGAGCAGGGACAUGCCCCGCAGCCAGCCGUCCUGCUCCGUGCCGAGCACACGUAGCCCCUCUCCCCUGCGCAGCUGCAGCUCGGCGGGGCCGUGCGCCGCGUACGGGCGCAGCGCCACGCACCUGCGGAGAGCAGCGGGUCAGCCCUGCGCCGCGCAGCGCCCGGCUGCAGCGGGCGGGCAGCUCCUCUCGAGGGCGGUGCCAUCCGCUCCAGGAGUCGAUGAGUUCCAGCACAACGCCACAGCUCUCGGGUGUUAUUUCCAAAACACAAACAACAGCUGGGGGGGUCUGGCCGGUCAGGGGCUGCCCCAGCACUCUCAGAAAGGUUUCUCUCCCUGUUUUUCAGCACAAGCUUCUGGAGGUUUGGCCGGGGGCCGGUCUGAGUGAGGGGCUGUUCCCAGCUGUGCCCUGGCUGCUCAGGAGCACUGUGUGAGCGCUGGCCUGGCUCUGCCUCUGUGCAAAGCACCCAGCUGCUGGGGUGCCCUCACACCACCCUUCUGCAAAUUAUUGUAAUGUCUGGGGAGCUCUCUUGUCUUUUGGAUUCGUGCUGGAGUCUCGGCUGGAUGAUGGUGUGGUGAGGGUGCUACUCCUGGGCACAGCAUUCCCACAGCCUGGCUCUGCACCAGGGGGGCUCAGCGCUGCGCAAGCAGCAUGUUGGGAUGCUGUUAUAAUUUUAGAUGCUUUACCAAAGUGCCAGGGUGGUGAACCUUUCCUUGAUAUAAUCAUCAUAGAGCGUUAUCUGCAAAUUUUAACUCUGUGAAAGUUUUCAAAAACCGGAUUGCUCAAAACACCGGUGGCUAUGAAGGUUUCAGGAUAAAUAACUAGAGGCACUUAAGGAGUAAUUAGUUUCUUUGCAAUUAAAAACAUUUAAAAUGCAUUGCUGACAAACAGGCAGAGCUGUUUCUCCCCAGGUUCUGCAGGGAGGCAGAAGGAUGCACUCAGCUGUGGCACCAGGUCUCUGCCACCCCCUGCUCAGAGCAGCCAGUCCAUCCCAGCACGGAUCUGCAUUCAGACCCAAGGAGAGGCUGCAGGAAAUCCCAGCCCACCCCCAAAGCACCCCAGUAUCUCACGUACAGGUAAGCUGGCCCCUGCUGCUGCAGGUGGGGCAGGGUGACGAUGGCAGCCGGGGGCCCCAGGGCUCCUGCUGAGGGGUGGGAAGAGGCGCUGACCUACGGGAGAAGGGAAGCAGAGAAAACAAAGCAUUAAUCUGCUUAUCAGCUUCUUUCAGCCCCUGCAGGAGCAGCUAACAUUGGACUGGCUUCACCCACCCUUCAAAAAUUACCAAUGGCACUUCAGGAAAUAGAAGAGUCUGGAGCAUUUGAGUUUAAAAAAGAGCAGGCAGCAAGAGGAAGACUCAGAAUCAGAGAAUCCUUUAGGCUGGAAAAGCCUCCAGGGUCACCGAGGUGACAGAUCCCCCUGUCCUUUCCCCACUGUCACUUUGCACUGCAGGUGCAACCAGGCACUGGGAUGUCCACUGUGUGUCCUGGAGGGGCUCCCUGGGGUUCCAGGGAGGAGCUGAAGCCCUGUCCUGCUGCUGAGGGAGCUGAGCCUGUGCUGAGCCUGUGCUGUGUCUGAGUCUGUGCUGUGUCUGUGUCUGUGCUGUGUCUGUGUCCCCCCCCCCCCCCCCCCCCCCCCCCCCCCCCCCCCCCCCCCCCCCCCCCCCCCCCCCC